rnacentral:rRNA from 1 species
AUUGAACGCUGGCGGCAUGCCUUACACAUGCAAGUCGAACGGCAGCACGGGAGCAAUCCUGGUGGCGAGUGGCGAACGGGUGAGUAAUAUAUCGGAACGUGCCCAGUAGUGGGGGAUAACUGCUCGAAAGAGCAGCUAAUACCGCAUACGACCUGAGGGGGAAAGGGGGGGAUCGCAAGACCUCUCGCUAUUGGAGCGGCCGAUAUCAGAUUAGCUAGUUGGUGGGGUAAAGGCCUACCAAGGCAACGAUCUGUAGUUGGUCUGAGAGGACGACCAGCCACACUGGGACUGAGACGCGGCCCAGUCUCCUACGGGAGGCAGCAGUGGGGAAUUUUGGACAAUGGGCGCAAGCCAGAUCCAGCAAUGCCGCGUGCAGGAAGAAGGCCUUCGGGUUGUAAACUGCUUUUGUCAGGGAAGAAAUCCUCUAGGUUAAUACCCUUGGGGGGAUGACGGUACCUGAAGAAUAAGCACCGGCUAACUACGUGCCAGCAGCCGCGGUAACAC